rnacentral:rRNA from 2 species
AGUGAAGCGGGAUGAGCUCAAAUUUAAAAUCUGGCUGGUUUACUAGUUCCGAAUUGUAGUUUAUAGAAGCGUUUUCGGUGGCAGCCUGGGUAUAAAUCCUUUGGAAUAGGGUAUCAUAGAGGGUGAGAAUCCCGUCUUUGACUCAGUGCAUGCUACUAUGUGAUACGUUUUCAAAGAGUCGAGUUGUUUGGGAAUGCAGCUCAAAAUGGGUGGUAAAUUUCAUCUAAAGCUAAAUAUUGGCGAGAGACCGAUAGCGAACAAGUACCGUGAGGGAAAGAUGAAAAGAACUUUGAAAAGAGAGUUAAACAGUGCGUGAAAUUGUUGAAAGGGAAACGUUUGACACCAGUUAUGCGGGUGGAAAAUCAGUCUUUUGCAGUGGGGAGUUGUGGGCGUUCAGACCGCAAGGCUGGCGUUUGCUUCAUCUUUGUUGUAAGUGAUGCACUUUUUCAUUUGCAGGUCAACAUCAGUUUGCUCUGCUGGACAAAACUCCAAGGGAAGGUGGCAGCUUAGGCUGUGUUAUAGCCCUGGAGCGAUACAGUGGGGUGGACUGAGGUUUCGCAGUGUGUGCUUUCGGGCAAGGCUGACUGGGUGCUAUGGGAUCGUUCGGCGUACAAUGCAUGCAUUUUGCGUCGUGUCUUUUUCAUACUCGCUCAACUCGGCUCUUCCACGCUUAGGAUGUUGACUUAAUGGUUUUAAACGACCCGUCUUGAAACACGGACCAAGGAGUCUAACAUAUAUGCAAGUGUUUGGGUGGCAAACCCAUGCGCGUAAUGAAAGUGAACGUAGGUGCGAUCCGCAAGGUGCAGCAUCGACCGAUCUUGAUAUUUUUGGAUAGAUUUGAGUAAGAGCAUAUAUGCUGGGACCCGAAAGAUGGUGAACUAUGCCUGAAUAGGGUGAAGCCAGAGGAAACUCUGGUGGAGGCUCGUAGCGAUUCUGACGUGCAAAUCGAUCGUCAAAUUUGGGUAAUAGGGGCGAAAGACUAA